rnacentral:lncRNA from 1 species
CGUGAACAAUGCUCAAAGCAGGUUUGCACCUUACGACCAUGUGCAGGUAUCUCUUCAUAUGUGUUAUUAGGUAAUAGCCCACUUUUCACAGUUGCAGCCUUACGACUACACACAUAUAGAUAAAUCCUCAAAAGGGUACGAGUAAGUAGGUACCCUGCCUCAUGGGUCUCGGAUUCAUUAAGAGUAAAAACUCAAUCUAACCCUUGCUUUUUA